rnacentral:lncRNA from 1 species
UUUUUUUAGAUAUUGAUGAACCUUUAUUUGUAUGAGGUGCUGAGGAUCGAACCCAGUGCUUCAUGCAUGCUAGGCAAGUGCUCUACCAUUGAGCACAACCCCACAACCCCAGCCCCAGAACCUCAGUGCCCUAGUGCCAGCUUCAGCUCUUUCCUCCUGGAAAUACCUCUGCAGGCCAGCUGUGGGGCUUCCACUGUUCUGAAAGAAUACCCAUCCUGUUUGCUUGCUGGCUUGCCUGCAGAGAACUCCCAUGUUCUCAGCAAGGCAGAAUCUACUA